CUAUGGCCAACAGAACAAAACAGAGGGGGCUGGAUAUGAAGAAGACUCUUACGAUGCGAAACCGUGAAGAGAGAGAUGCCAGCUUGUCGACAGUACUGGUACAUGCCAUCUUCAACGUCAACACUAACUGCACUGGUGCAUUCGUCUAGGAUGGCAAACUGAGGCUUGUGGUAGAAUAGACGUGCCAUCUGCAAAGCAACAUCAUAUCAAAACUGCAAUGCUGUAAUUAUCAAUAUACAGAUAAGACGUCCAUCCAAUCGGCAAUUGCAUCCCAUCCGCCCUCUCUAUCCAGAAUGUGUGAGAGCUGAACACGACCAAGAAGCUCUCUCAAGUCAUUAUCCGUGUACCCACGGCCUAUCAUAUCAGAAUAUGAAUCUGGAUUAAAAGAUGUUCUCACCUCUCCAAGAAUCCUGAAGAGAGAAGACUUGCCACAACCAUUGGGGCCACAGACAAGGACAUUCAUGCCAGAUUUGACCUCAAAAUUUAGCUCCUUAACCAAGACAUCUCCAUUAGGAGUUA